rnacentral:rRNA from 1 species
UACGUAGGGGGCAAGCGUUGUCCGGAUUUAUUGGGCGUAAAGAGCGUGUAGGCGGUUCGGUAGGUCCGUUGUGAAAACUCGAGCUCAACCUCGAGACGCCGAUGGAAACCCCCGAACUAGAGUCCGGAAGAAGGAGAGUGGAAUUCCUGGUGUAGCGGUGAAAUGCGCAGAUAUCAGGAAGAACACCCGUGGCUAAGGCGGCUCUCUAGUACGGUACUGACGCUGAGACGGCGAAAGCGUGGGGAGCGAACAGG